CAAGUUGAGAUUGUUUGAUGUGUCAUUCGUUUUUUUGUCACGACAAGUUGACAUUGUUUGGGUUGUCUUGAUCAUGACAACUUGACAUUAAUCACAGUGACAUUACCAGAAGUUGUCUAGGUGAGG